rnacentral:rRNA from 1 species
UCCGGCGGGUGCUAUACAUGCAAGUCGAGCGGACAGAAGGGAGCUUGCUCCCGGAUGUUAGCGGCGGACGGGUGAGUAACACGUGGGUAACCUGCCUGUAAGACUGGGAUAACUCCGGGAAACCGGAGCUAAUACCGGAUAGUUCCUUGAACCGCAUGGUUCAAGGAUGAAAGACGGUUUCGGCUGUCACUUACAGAUGGACCCGCGGCGCAUUAGCUAGUUGGUGAGGUAACGGCUCACCAAGGCGACGAUGCGUAGCCGACCUGAGAGGGUGAUCGGCCACACUGGGACUGAGACACGGCCCAGACUCCUACGGGAGGCAGCAGUAGGGAAUCUUCCGCAAUGGACGAAAGUCUGACGGAGCAACGCCGCGUGAGUGAUGAAGGUUUUCGGAUCGUAAAGCUCUGUUGUUAGGGAAGAACAAGUGCAAGAGUAACUGCUUGCACCUUGACGGUACCUAACCAGAAAGCCACGGCUAACUACGUGCCAGCAGCCGCGGUAAUACGUAGGUGGCAAGCGUUGUCCGGAAUUAUUGGGCGUAAAGGGCUCGCAGGCGGUUUCUUAAGUCUGAUGUGAAAGCCCCCGGCUCAACCGGGGAGGGUCAUUGGAAACUGGGAAACUUGAGUGCAGAAGAGGAGAGUGGAAUUCCACGUGUAGCGGUGAAAUGCGUAGAGAUGUGGAGGAACACCAGUGGCGAAGGCGACUCUCUGGUCUGUAACUGACGCUGAGGAGCGAAAGCGUGGGGAGCGAACAGGAUUAGAUACCCUGGUAGUCCACGCCGUAAACGAUGAGUGCUAAGUGUUAGGGGGUUUCCGCCCCUUAGUGCUGCAGCUAACGCAUUAAGCACUCCGCCUGGGGAGUACGGUCGCAAGACUGAAACUCAAGGAAUUGACGGGGGCCCGCACAAGCGGUGGAGCAUGUGGUUUAAUUCGAAGCAACGCGAAGAACCUUACAGGUCUUGACAUCCUCUGACAACCCUAGAGAUAGGGCUUUCCCUUUCGGGGACGAGUGACAGGUGGUGCAUGGUUUGUCGGUCAGCUUCGUGUUCUG